GACGAACGCUGGCGGCGUGCUUAACACAUGCAAGUCGAACGGUAAGGCUCCAGCUUGCUGGGGUACACGAGUGGCGAACGGGUGAGUAACACGUGGGUGACCUGCCCUGCACUUCGGGAUAAGCCUGGGAAACUGGGUCUAAUACCGGAUAGGACCAUGGUGUGGAUACUGUGGUGGAAAGUUUUUUCGGUGUGGGAUGGGCCCGCGGCCUAUCAGCUUGUUGGUGGGGUAAUGGCCUACCAAGGCGGCGAUGGGUAGCCGGCCUGAGAGGGUGGACGGCCACAUUGGGACUGAGACACGGCCCAGACUCCUACGGGAGGCAGCAGUGGGGAAUAUUGCACAAUGGGCGGAAGCCUGAUGCAGCGACGCCGCGUGGGGGAUGACGGCCUUCGGGUUGUAAACUCCUUUCACCAUCGACGAAGGGUUUCUGACGGUAGAUGGAGAAGAAGCACCGGCUAACUACGUG
rnacentral:rRNA from 1 species